AUACGGGCACUGCCCAGAUGAUAGAAUGAUUCACACUUUUCACUUCAAACAGUGGAUUGUAUUUUUGUAACUUUUAAGAUGCAUUUGUGAUCUUGGGGGUUGGAUGCAAAUGCUCUUUAAUUAUACAUUUAUUUCAGAGAAUGCAUACAUUCCAUGAAUUGUUCCAGAACCUUUUCCUAUAAAUAUCUUCUUUUGGAGUAGCAUCCCCACAUCUGUUUUAGCCUAAACCUUUCCAUGACUUGCCCAUCUUCUACAUGCAGGGCAGUUUACAUUUACAUUCUGCCUUUCUUGGAAGAAUGUAAAACCAAGGCUUUCAUGGAAACCAAGGCAGUGUACAUGUGAUUUUCAGACAGUCACCCAUUGAGGCGCUGCCCAAAUCCAGAUCUGCUUAACUUCAGCAAAGUAAUAUGUGCUUUCAGACCCAUAACUUGGCCCUCAUGCACCUCAGUGAUGUGAGAGUUGGCAAUAAGCCUAUGGGAUGGCUGACCCUAUCAAUUUAUUCUUUCCUAAACAGACAGAUAUAUCAUCUUCCCAAGAAAAAUUACCAGUGACAGAAAAGUACAUGUGCGUAGAACCGGUCAGCUUCUAAUUUUAUAAGCAAUGCACAUUUCUCCCUCAACUCUUCAUUUGUCUGUCUUUAUUUGUUGUUGCCAAGUUACAGAACCAUUUCCAUUUCAUCUGAAGUCAGUGGCCUCAGGUAGCAGCUGAAGAAAAGUACAAAAUGGUUGUAGACAUUCAUGCUGGAAAAAGCAAGCUAAUAGACACAGACACACACUAUUAGAGCAAAAGGUGAACAAUCUAAAUUAAGGAUGGGGAACCUGUGACCCUCCAGAUGUUGUCAAGAGUCCAACUCCCAAGAGCCCCAGCCAGAACAGCCAAUGGUCAGGGAUGAUAGGAGCUAUAGGCCAACAACAUCUGAUAGGCCUCAGGUUCAUUAUACAUGGUAGACUGGCAGUCACCAACCCGGUGUCCUCCAAAUGUUUGGACUACUACAUACCAAUGGCCAGAGAUGAUGGGAGUUGUGGUCCAAAAAAAUCUGGAGGGCAUCAGACUGCGAAAGGCUGCUGUAGAGUUUCCAGUAGUUUUAUUUUAAAUGUACAGCCAGAUUCUGUUCGUGGUUACAUGGAAGUUAAGUCCCUACUAUGGAUAAUGCACUUUGUGCACAAGAAUGUAGUUUCACUGUUUCAUCUUCUUCCUCGCCACUGGGUAACUGCUGAAGGGUCUCUCCUAUCUGGAAAUGUGGGCAGACCAGCGAGUGUAGCUUUCUGGCAGGCCUGUGGCUGGGCAGCUCUGUUCUACCCUUUCUCCAGACCUCUGUUUUUAAUACUGUCUCUUUAGGCACUUACUUUUAAUUACCAUUCCUAGCUUCUGUUUUUAUCUUCUCCCUCUCCCUCUUUUAAAGUUGAAAAUGGACUGUUACUUUGUGAAUGGAGAACACUUUAUUCUUUGAAUGCUGAGCAAUUCUGAAUGCAGUUUAUUCUCCCAUCAAGAGACAUCUCCUAAUGCAAGGCUUUGGGUGAAAACAAAAAUAAAAAAAUCUUUAGUGAUUAAAUGACACAUUUCUACAUCUCACAGAUAAGAAAUGAAGCAAAAAUAUGUACACUUUUCUCACUGUAAGAGCUGAUCCACACAUUCAUUUUGACUUUUUUAAUGUGGCUUUUAUUGCAUGGUUUUAUGUAUAAUUGUUGUAAACUGCUGUAUUAUUUAAAUUCUUAUUUAUUUAUUUAUUUCAUAAAAUUUAUGCACUGCUUGAUUGCAGAAAACCUCAAAGCCUAGGCUGCCCCAAUAAACACAAAGAGAAUUAAGUCUGAGUAGACAUGUAUAUGACUGUACGACAAGUUUAUACUGUGACUUCUUAAUCAGUGUCUGAUCUUUAGCUCCUGCACAGCAGUAGACAAGUCAAAGCCUUCCUGCAGUUUUUCAAAUAUGCCUCUUGGGGUGAAGGGGGAUUCUUUAACAUCUCUCAGCACUUAAUGUGUAGUGGUAUUUGCAGAACAUAACUACCUGAACUCAGGUGAGUUAACAACAGGGAAGAUGCAUCCCAGUUGCCAGGGGAGGGCAAAUUAUGGAGAUUUCAAGGACUAGAAAAUAUGACAGAGGUUGGAAAAGUGCACUAAAGGGGAUGGAGAAACAGCACCUCUUCAGGACCCCAGGGAUUCCUGUUGCUGGUGUCCAAAACUCACUUGUCAAUGACAGUUCUGACUUAUUCAUUGGCUAAAAACACUGACAGGUGGGAGAAGCCAGGCUGGCAUGUUACCCAGAAAUUGCUUAGAAUGGUGUCUGUACAUUUUGUAACAUUAUUUAUAGGAGGCCCAGAAACUUACUUUUUAAAAAAACCCAACAACAACAACAACAACCCACAAGAAUCUGGGGCUGCAGCCUGAGGGGGACUGAUGAAGGCCAACAUGGGUCCCAUGACACUUGCAGGGGCUGAGUUGGUGACCCACAUUUAAUGAGAUAAAGUGAAGUUCAGAACUAGGCAUACAUACAUAGAUAAGUAGGAUGAUGCAGCUAAAUCUCUAUCAUAUCCAGCAAGUCAACCGUUUGCAGGUGAUUUGAAUAUUCAGUUAAACAGAAUAAUUUGAUAUUAUUGUUCAGGAAUAAUGCACAAAUUUAACUUGUCCAUUCCAGCCCACCCCAUCUCACACAGAACAAAGUGCCUGCAGUGAAGAACAAGUUGAACACAAAAUGUAUGACAUACAUUUCCAGGUGCCCAACCGUAUCGUUUUUAACUAAUGCUAGCUUCAUUUCUGACUCUCAUGAGAUCAUAAAAUACAGAAUGCAAAUACUUCUUCUGUGGUAUUGAGCCCCCAAACCCACAUAUAACAGCCCAGUAUAUCUUCAUUAACAAGAAACAUUUCUAUUGAUUUUAUUUGGCUAUGAUUCAUAUUACACAUAACAAAUAUGUAUGGUCACCUAAAUGAAUUAUUGCAAUUCAAUUUGGAAUGAUUGCAUAAGGCUAUUGUAUUAUCUCUAGGAUGCCCUAGUCUCUCGGUGUCAAAACUGUUUUUAUUUAAUGAAAUAACAUGGAAAAGUUAAUCGGAAUAGGUUAACCUCCAUGGAUCUCAAGGUCGGUACAUUCAUCUCCUGCAAAUGGGGAUUUUUAAAAAUUUGGGGAAAGAAGUCUAGAUAUUGGAAAAGCAAGGAAAGGCUGCGUAAGACUGUUAUGAGCAGGAUUGCACUUUGUGACAUUUCCAUUCAUAACCUAGAAGAUCUAGAAGUUCUUCGAAAGAAAGAAAUAUUGUAUAAGGUUAUGUAUAAUAAAAAAACAGCAGUCUUAGCAUGAAUAACAAUAAAGCCAGAAGUGGAUGAACUAUGGAAGGAAGUAGAUGUCCACUUACUGGCCUGGUGGCACUGUCUGAACAGCUGUCUUGUCUGUAAGCUGUGACUGCCCAUUAAGGCAAAUGUUAUCAACCAACUCAUUCUCUGGACUUCUGAGUGAUUACAGAAGUCUAAAAAGGGUCUGCUUUGUCUUAUUAUCAGAGCCUACCAGAUCUCACUGUUAUUAGAGCUAUCAUGUAGAAUGCCUUUGGUAUAUAAAUGGCAUGGAAAUUAUUUAAAUAAAUAAAAUUAACAUAGCAAAUGGUUGUCUGUUCCCACACUGUGUCAUAGAAUUAUCAGAAACUUAAGGUGAACAAAGCCUUCUAUUAUAUAUGAUUUCUAGGCUUUUUCAGUUCUUAUAAUAUACACC